GGUACAUGGAAUGAGGUCAUGUCUUGGCACAUGGGCGUGUUUCCCCCGCCACCCAGGUUCAUACCAACUCACAGGAGAGGCAAAAGGGGGAAGACUACUAUGACCUCAGAGGCCCUGGGGUCCACACUUCUCAGAAGCCUUCUGAAAUGGCAAAAUACUUCUCAAGAUUUCCUGUCCUUCAGGAAGGAUCAGCACAAGCAUGUGAACAGGCAUGUCACUCUCUGCCUCCCAGCCUGAGGGAAAUGAUGUAUAUAACCUGGCACUUUCAACCUGAUUUACAGAAACAACAUGACCAGAUUCCUAUAUGCAAAGAUCAACUGACAAAGGACAAAGAAGUUAUGUGACCUUCGGAUCUACAGACGUCAGUCAGCUUUUGGCUCCAGCGCCCUCCUGAUUUCUCCUCUUCCUGACACAGAAGCUCAAAGUUCAAGCUGAUGGGAGACAGUUCUUCCGGACAAUAGUUCACCACCCGUUUGGUUUGCCGACAAUUUCCUACCCCAACAUCUUUCCCCUUGACUUAAUGGCCUAUUGUGCAGUGAUCAGAAUAAGCUUGGUCUUGGUCUCAUUAAGACAAACCUGAAUUAACUGCCUGAUAAGAUAAAAGAGAACCCCAAUUCUGCACUACUUUGUGUCUAGGAUGUGAGAUGGCCAGGUUGGAAUUUUUUGAAAACUCUAAGUUUAAAGCUUUGAGUGGGUUGGGUCUGAUUAGAACUGAGUGAGGAUCAUGAUACAACAGUCCAGGAUUGGUGGGAACAGCAAGGUGAAGCAUUUUGAGCAAAGAUUCAGAGAAGCUUAGGGUCCUUCCCACUGAAAAGCUGAUGAGUGUUUCAGUUGAUGAGUCUUUCUGAAAUAGUAAAACCAUGCUAAUGAAGUCAAUGGAACAGCACAGCCCUAUUCAUAUAGAUGCUAAACUGCAUAGGGGAUAGUUAGUUUCAGUCCUAAGUGUCCAGACUGUGGGGGGGCGGGGUGGAUGGUUUUGAUUCUCAACCUUUCUAGAAGUCAACCUGACAACAUGCAUAAAGAGUCUUAAAUGCAUUCUCACCUUUUACAUUGUAAUUCUAUUUCCAAGGAGCUAAGGAAAUAAUCUAAAAUGCAUACAAUGAUUUACAUAAUGAGGAUGUUCAUUAUGAACUGAAAUCAUUUAAGAGCCCCAAAUUGGAAGUAACACAAAUAAUAGGUAAUAAUACUAGGUAAAGAAAUGUGGUAUAUGCAUAUGGUAGAAGUUCAUGAAGCCAUUAAAAUUUUAUGGGAAAAAAGUAAUAACAGUGGAAUAUGCAUGUACUUUACUUGCUAAGAGGAAAAAAGCAGAUUAGAGAUUCAAAUAAACAAUGAAAAAAAUUAUGGGAAGAAAAUGUAUCAAACAUACCAAAUACACCAAAAUGAGACUCCUGGGUGGUUAGACACAAUUUCAAUUUUCUUCCUUACACUUCUCA
rnacentral:lncRNA from 1 species